GAUAUUAGAUUUAAAAAAUGAUUAAAUUUUGAGUCAAAGUUUAAGAUUGAAGUAUUGUACGUGGUUUGAAGUUAUAUAACUUUUAUAUUCCAUAAAUUAGACUUAUAUAUAACUUUUACAAAGUUAAGGGUUUACUGUUUAUGAUUUAGGAGUUAGGUAUAGUGUUUGGAGUUUAGAAUUUAAGUUUUGAGAAAACUAAAUUUUGAGUUUAAAUUUAUGAUUUGAAGUUAUAGUGUGAAAAGAUAAGAAUUUUGAAUUCUAUACCGAAACCCUAAAGCUAAACC
rnacentral:lncRNA from 1 species